rnacentral:rRNA from 1 species
UACGUAGGUGGCAAGCGUUGUCCGGAAUUAUUGGGCGUAAAGCGCGCGCAGGCGGUCCUUUAAGUCUGAUGUGAAAUCCCACGGCUCAACCGUGGAGGGUCAUUGGAAACUGGGGGACUUGAGUGCAGAAGAGGAAAGCGGAAUUCCACGUGUAGCGGUGAAAUGCGUAGAGAUGUGGAGGAACACCAGUGGCGAAGGCGGCUUUCUGGUCUGUAACUGACGCUGAGGCGCGAAAGCGUGGGGGAGCAAACAGG